AUAAAGAAAUGGAAAAUAAACAUAUAUGCUAGAAAAUACUAACGAAGAUAUCGCAUAACAUAAAAAGACAGAAAUCAAAGCAAAAUGCAUCAAAUGAACAAAGGAAGAUGUAGCUAAUGAGAGUUAGAAUCCACAGACAGUUCAGCAGCCAUAAUCCUCUAUGUGCCGAACUUCAAAAUAUAUAAAACAAAGACUGACAAAUAUAUAAGCAAACUGACACAGCCCCAAACAGCAAGUAUCUUUAACAGAUCUCUCUCAGAAAUAAACACAUCAGGCCAGUCACGGUGGCUCACACCCGCAAUCCCAGCACUUUGGGAGGCUGAUGUGGGUGGAUCACCUGAGGUCAGGAGUUCGAGACCAGCCUGGCCAACAUGGCGAAACCCUGUCUCUAUUAAAAAUACAAAAAUUAGCCGGGCAUGGUGGCGAGUGCCUGUAAUCCCAGCUACUUGGGAGGCUGAGGCAGGAGAAUCACUCAAACCUGGGAGGCGGAGGUUGCAGUGAGCCGAGAUUGUGCCACUGCAUUCCAGCCUGGGUGACGAGAAUGAAACUCCGUCUCAAAAACAAAAACAAACAAACAAACAAGAAAAAAUCAAAUAGAAAUGCAAAUUUGGCAGGUAGAGAAUUUGAGGAAUGUAAGUAACCCUUCGUCUCCAACUUAAACACAAUUAUGUUACAACGUGGGACAAUGAUAAACACAUAAUUACUAGACCACAAGGGAAAUAACCACACAUUCUAAAGCACAAAGAUCAUAAGGAGGCCAAAUUCAUGGACACAACUGCAUGAAAUUAGAUGCUGGCCAAAGGAUGGCAUGAAAGAAAAAAGACAGCACUCCUGAAAAGUGGACCCAAAUAUAGCCUAGAUUGCAUACAUCCAUGGUGCCACGCGCAUGCUACCGGGUAAUGAAUAAGAGCCCUUGAAGUGCUGGUCUGAAGCCUCGUGACUCACAGAUCCGUCACACUGAGAUUCUUCUGAAAAGCAAAAUGCCGAAGGAGGCAUUGCAGAAUAACACGCACCUCGUCCCUGGAGACCCACACACCCCUAGAGCAGGACAGUGGUUACCUCUGAAGACAGAGAAGGCUACGGGCCUGGGAGAUGGAAGCAGAGGGCUUCAAAGUUCUAUUGUAGAGUUUUCUUUACUAAAAAGGAAGAAAAAGUUCUGGGCAAAGUCAGGCAACAUGUUAAGAUUUGAUAAGAUGAGAGGUAGCUGUUUGGGGAUCGGUACUAGUGCUCUCCACGCUGUUCUGUAUUCUUAAAAUAGUUUAUAUCUUUUUUUUUUUUUUUUUAAGGAACUAGGAGGAAGUGACUGCAAAGGAGCAGAAGGAUCUUUCAGGGGGUGGAAAUGCUCUGAAAUUAGAUUGUGGUGAUGAUUGCACAAUUCUGUAAAUUUUCUUUUUGUUGUUGUUGUAUCUUUCUUUUUUUUUUUUAAUAGAGAUGAGGUCGCGCUAUGUUGCCGAGGCUAUGAUGAGCCAAGAUCACACCACUACACUCCAGCCUGGGUGACAGAGUAAGAUCCUGCCGGAAAGAAAAGAAGGAGGAAGGGAGGGAGGGAAGGAAGGAAGGAAGGAAGGAAGGAAGGAAGGAAGGAAGGAAGGAAGGAAAAAGAAAAGAAAAAAUAAAAACUGAACUCACAUGAGAACCACAGCCCACAAGAGGCAGGUCUGGACUUGUGGUCUAACCCUAACCAGGCUGACUGCUAGCAAAACAAAAAGAUCAUUGUUGUCCAGAGGAUUUUAGUAGAAUCCAGAGUCUUAUUAAAUGAUAUUCAAAAUGUCCAUGAUACAACCCAAAAGUACUCAAACAGCAACAAAGAAAACCUUGAGAACUUGUAAGAGAAAAGAUAACUAACAGAUGCCAACUAGGAGAUAAUCCCAGUGCUGAAAUGAUCACAUGGAGCAUUAAAACAGCUGUCAGAGGCCAGGCGCGGUGGCUCACGCCUGUAAUCCCAGCACUUUCAGAGGCCAAGGCUGGUGGAUCACGAGGUCAGGAGUUCGAGACCAUCCUGGCUAACACGGUGAAACUCCGUCUCUACUAAAAAUACAACAACAACAAAAAUAAAUCAGUAAAAAUAAAAUUAGCCAGGCAUGGUGGUGGGCACCUGUAGUCCCAGCUACUCGGGAGGCUGAGGCAGGAGAAUGGUGUGAACCCAGGAGACGGAGCUUGCAGUGAGCCGAGAUUGUGCCACUGCACUCCAGCCUGGACAACAGAGCGAGACUCUGUCUCAAAAAAUAUAUAUACAAUAAAUAAAUAAAUAAAAUUAAAAGAGGCUGGUGGAGGGAGAGAAGGGGAGGGGCUUGGGACCCUGGGGCUUCCCAGAGCCGUGACCUUGCUGUGGGGGGGACCCAGACCUCCAUUCCGGGGACUCACUCAGCACUCAUCUUACUAUCCCCCAUCUGAUGUGCUUAUUGCACAAGGCUGGAAGUCAGAGGCUGCGCACGUUUUUCUUUGUGGAGACAAGUAAUCGGUGCGUUUAGUGUAAAAAUAUCAGGUGUGGCUGCACGGAAUGAAAAUCACAGGCUCCACGGAGCCGGGAGGCCUGCUGCCCUGCCCUCUUGCUUUGAUGAGGAAAUGGCAACCACAGAAGGAAGUGUAGCAGCACCGGCAACCGGCAUCCGUGGGGCCACACCCGGCUGCUUCCCAGGGCCCUCCAGCCAAGCAGCCACAGGAAAGGGUGGAUGUUGAUCCCAAGCUAGGACUGAGGAGUCCGUCCCUAAGAGCCGAGGGUGUCAGGCGGGCAAAACUGGCCACAUGUCUGGGUCCAACUGCUGAGGGCUUCUCAUCUGCUCAAUCACCAAGCUAGGUUCUGAAGCCAGGCAAGAGUGAGCAGGACUGGAGCGGGAUUCUGGGAACAAUCUUUUCCCUCGAGUCAGCCCAGAAAUUCCAUUUGCAGUAACUUUCACUUAUGUCUUCCAGAAAACUACCUGCUGUCAUCAGGGGUUGGUUGGUUGAGCCUUUCCCUGUGCUUGCCUGGCAGAGCUGCGUGCUCUGAGGCUGCCCGACCCUGCGCUCCAGAACAGACCAUCAAGUUCAGGAGACAAGCAUGCCAGCCAUGACACAAGGCAGAUGAGAGGGACCCCCAGCGUCCACACGUGGAGACAGCGGGGGCGGCCGUGACUUCCUUCUGCAGUGUUGAUUCAGCUCCCUUUGCAGGCGAAUCCAUACAAACAGGCCGACCGUCAGGGCUGGUCCCAGGCCUCCCGGCCGGGUGCAAUGCAGAAAUGGAGAUCUGCCCCAGCCAGCCAGGUGAGUGUAGGAAGGAGGGAGGGCUGCGAGAAGCUGGGGGCAGCCUCCAUCCCCCUGUGACCUGGGUGGGCCUGUGCCCCCCCCACCCCCGACGCAGCUUCCCACGCUGGGAGCACAGUUCCUCCCUCCUCUGCCUUCCUCUGCGUGGUGUGGCUCCUCCUUGAAGGAGAGAGCUGAGGAGGUGGCAUUCUUGCUUCCCUGACUCACCCAAAGGAAGAUUUCACAGCCCCUGGCAAGGGCUGCCAGAAAGGCUCACCUGUCACCCCCUGUCCAGGGACAGACUGACCGGUAGCCUUGGCUGGGUGGGGAGUUAUGCUGGGAAGUCUUCCAGGCUCCCUGUGGGUGGGAAGAUGCUCAGUGUUCAAAGGAGAUGGAACAAGGAAAACAGUUAAGCAAUGAUGGACUCCAGGGGGAAACCUGGAGGAGAAGAAACUGUAAUACCAGUCCAUCCACAUGGCUCAGCAGUGAACGACAAUUGCAUGGUCAGAGAGAGCAAAAGCACCAAGCCGAUGGAAAGCAGCUCAAAUGCGGUGGGGCAGUGGGAGAUAGUGCCCUCAUCUACCAGAACGAGGUCUGCCACCUUCGCAGACCACUAAACCUCAUUCCUCCACCCACCUCCCCACCCCACGAAGGCCAGCUGACCAGACAGCAGGGCUCCCGAGGGUCAGGUCGGGUCGGGUGGGUGCCCCUUACCCUAACCGAGGCUCUGCCCUGGAUUCAGGGUCCACUUGCCCUCAAAGCAUGCCACUCUUCUUUCUGAUACUUGACAUAUUUCUUUUCCUGUUCAAUUCAUGGUUUCCGCCCAAGCGGAGUCACGCGAGGACGUCUUUGGGGAUGUGUCUCCAAGAAAAGUCUGGGCAGCCUUCAUCACCCUGGAUUCCUGUGAUUUGGUUUCCAUGGGGGCUUUCUAAGCUCAGGGACCCCAAGCCUCCAUCAAAUCUAAUGACCCGCCCUGUCUCUAAACACAUCUGUUUUGUCCCUGAGCCCCUCACCAACACCCUCCGCAACCCCCCCCUACACAUUUCCCAUCCUGAAGUGUCCGGCUCAUAGGCCGGCCCAUGCAUUCCCUUUACCCCUGCUUUGUCCCUACCUGCUGGGGAGCUGUCUCUUCUGGGCCCUAGUGUGGCACUUCACACACGAAUAUGUCCUGUGGGUGGUAUCUGGGGCCUCCCCCUGCAGUGAGGGGAUGACCAAUGUGCAGAGCUCACUGGGCCUGGAUAUGGGCCUGGGUAGCACAGAACAGAGAGAAAGUGCUCCGUCAAAGUGAGCUGCGAUGCCUCCACUAGGGUGGAGGUGGGCAAGCUCUUCCCUGGAGGGGGAAGAGCUCUCAACCCAGAGGGAUCUGACCAGAAAUGUUCACCACCCCCUCCACCCAGGAAGCCCCUGCAGACAGUAUGUGUUUUAGGCUUUGCUGGCCAAAUGGUCUCUGCUGUGACUACUCAGCUCUGCCAUUUUGGCUGCAGAGUGACCAUAGACCUUCUGAAAGUGAAUGAGUAUGACUGUGUUCCAAUAAAACUUUAUUGACAAAAAACAGGUGGAGGGCCAGCCUAAGGGCCCAAGUUUGUAGGUCUCUAUUCUAGACCAGUGAUUCUCUGGAGAGGAAUGGGGCAUGGGGAGUGGGGACAGUGUGUG